rnacentral:rRNA from 1 species
AACGAACGCUGGCGGCGUGCCUAACACAUGCAAGUCGAGCGAGAAAGCCCGCAAGGGUGAGUAAAGCGGCGCACGGGUGCGUAACACGUGGGUAAUCUGCCCUAGAGUCCGGAAUAACUCGCCGAAAGGCGUGCUAAUGCCGGAUGAGACCACGGGAGCUUCGGCUCCUGCGGGAAAAGGUGGCCUCUGUACACAAGCUAUCGCUCUAGGAUGAGCCCGCGGCCCAUCAGCUCGUUGGCGGGGUAAUGGCCCACCAAGGCUACGACGGGUAGCUGGUCUGAGAGGACGAUCAGCCACACUGGAACUGAGACACGGUCCAGACUCCUACGGGAGGCAGCAGUGGGGAAUCUUGCGCAAUGGGCGAAAGCCUGACGCAGCAACGCCGCGUGUGUGAUGAAGGUCUUCGGAUCGUAAAGCACUGUCGCGAGGGACGAAUAAGGGGCGGGCUAACAUCCCGUUCCGAUGACGGUACCUCGAGAGGAAGCACCGGCUAACUCUGUGCCAGCAGCCGCGGUAAAAC